rnacentral:rRNA from 1 species
CCUACGGGCGGCAGCAGUGAGGAAUAUUGGUCAAUGGCCGGAAGGCUGAACCAGCCAAGUCGCGUGAGGGAAUAAGGCCCUAUGGGUCGUAAACCUCUUUUGUCAGGGAGCAAAGGCGUCCACGAGUGGACGAAAGGAGAGUACCUGAAGAAAAAGCAUCGGCUAACUCCGUGCCAGCAGCCGCGGUAAUACGGAGGAUGCGAGCGUUAUCCGGAUUUAUUGGGUUUAAAGGGUGCGUAGGCGGAGUGUCAAGGCAGCGGUAAAAUUUCGGGGCUCAACCCCGUCGUGCCGUUGAAACUGACACCCUUGAGUGAGUGAGAAGUAAGCGGAAUGCGUGGUGUAGCGGUGAAAUGCAUAGAUAUCACGCAGAACGCCGAUUGCGAAGGCGGGUUCCUGGACAUUAACUGACGCUGAGGCACGAAGGCCAGGGGAGCGAAAGGGAUUAGAUACCCGUGUAGUC